CGCGUAGGUGGUUCUGUAAGUCGGAUGUGAAAGCCCAGGGCUUAACCUUGGAAUUGCAUCCGAUACUGCAUGACUAGAGUAUGGUAGAGGGAAGUGGAAUUUCCGGUGUAGCGGUGAAAUGCGUAGAUAUCGGAAGGAACACCAGUGGCGAAGGCGACUUCCUGGGCCAAUACUGACACUGAGGUGCGAAAGCGUGGGGAGCAAACA
rnacentral:rRNA from 1 species